rnacentral:rRNA from 1 species
ACAGUCUCAGUUCGGAUUGAAGGCUGAAAUUCGCCUUCAUGAAGCCGGAAUUGCUAGUAAUGGCGGAUCAGCAUGCCGCGGUGAAUACGUUCCCGGGCCUUGUACACACCGCCCGUCACACCAUGAGAGUCGGGAACACCCGAAGUCCGUAGUCUAACCGCAAGGGGGACGCGGCCGAAGGUGGGUUCGAUAAUUGGGGUGAAGUCGUAACAAGGUAUC